rnacentral:snRNA from 1 species
GUGCUCGCUUCGGCAGCACAUAUACUAAAAUUGGAACAAUACAGAGAUUAGCAUGGCCCUGUCAAGGAUGACAUGCAAAUUCGUAAAGCGUUCCAUAUUUUA